UUUUUUCCAACACCAAACCAACUCAAACCAAACCAUAGUCGGGUUUUUUUUCUCGGCUUGACUCGGAUUAUCGGGUUGGUGCGGUUUGUCGGUUUCUUUGUACACCCCUACCUCCGACAUGCCUAAAACUACACAUAUACACCUGUAAUAGUAUCUGUAGACUCAAAAUCAGCAACUCGAAAGAAGUGGAGUGCGACACCCAAUGCUGAUCUCCGGGGUCCUACUGAGGAGGCACGCCGCCCUGUCUAUCCAAACCUAUGGGCUUGAACACAUUGCAUAUAAAGGUGUCAGUAUGAAAUAUGUACUGAAUAUGUAGGGCGACAAGUGUAACAUGAAAAGUGUAAUUAACAAGAGAAGAGAUAUGGAGACAAUCCAAAAUUUGAAGCUAGCCUCGAUAGGAAACUAAAAUUCAACAUGAAUAUAAAUAUAUGCUCGUGUAAUUGUCGUUCACUAUCGCUACAUAUAAUAUAUCACAUUAUAAAAUAAUAAAUCCCUCUGUGGGGCUAUAAUAUCCAUAACAUAUCCGGCCAUAAUAAAGGCUCGGUAGAAUCGUACCCGGCCACGUAAAGCUUGGUAAUCCCAACUGAUCAGUGAUUACACAGUAGGUGUCAUACCCAGACGAUUAUAGUGCGGCUUGGUAAUGAAAGUAAAUACAUACAUAUAUAAGUGCGUGCGAAACCGACCUUAAAAGAUGUAUUCUAAGAAGAGUCGAAGUGGCUUAUCAUCAUUAUACCCCGACUAUCAUAAUUGUCGCUAAAGUAUUUAAUUUUCAACUACGAACCAACAAGUACUAACAACAUGAGAGUUAUGUAUUAUGAGUACUUUGGAAGUAAGUGUUACUUUUCGGUAAAUAUUAUUCAUGAUUUAUAUGAACGUCGAAAGGAGAACGAGUAAAAAAGAUCUAGUUCUAUUUAAGCAUGGAACAAGAAAAAUCGAGAAUUCAUAGAUAUUCUCUGAAGUAAGUAAUUAUGAGAAAGGAUCAGGUCUAAGCAUCUUUAUGAGUUGAAGGUGAAAUAACUCGAAUCCGACGAAACAAUUCAAUAAACGUUUAUUCGACUUCUAGUCAUACCGAAAAGUAUAGCAAAAGCCCUACAUACCAUGUCAAUGGAUUUAUAUACGAUUUCUGAGACCUCAAAAGCCUUAGUAUAAUAUGAACCAUUCAAUAUCAAAUUCAAGCUCAUAUCUUAUAUAAAUAUUUAUUCAGACAUUUAAGCGAACAACUUACUGGCAUGAAUUUGUAUACUCUUUUAUAGUUUAAUUUUCCCAUAACACACUACCAAAUUUUAAUUUACCACAUCUCCUUAUCGACAUGAUUCCAUCAAUGUCUUCGCAGAUUCAAACAACACUGUAAAACCGUAUAUAACAUCCCCAACAAUCAAGUCAUAUUAAGAGAGGUUUCUUAAAAACAAUCAAAAACAUUUCUAUAGAGUUUCAACUAUAUUUUAGGAAUUCUUAGGAUAGAAGUUUACAAAUAUCAAAGCGGAAGUUAAAUCAUACCUUAUGUAACCAUAAUUACUUUUAAUUCGAGAUUAACUUCAAGGAGAAGUCUACCUACGAAAAAGUGAAACACCAAAGAAUUCGAAGUUAUCAUGGUGUUCUCCAUCUUGAGAAUGACUAAAUUGAUGUUAUGACUGGUUAAAUGGAUGAGAAGAGUUUGAGAGGAAUUCUCA
rnacentral:lncRNA from 1 species